AUGGCGCUCCAGAGCUGCCACCACCACGACGACUGCCGCGUAGCCCCUCCCCCUCUCCCGGACUGGGGCUGGGAGUGGGAGUGGGACUGGGAGGAGCUGGUGCGCUGCCAGCUCGGCGACGCCGCCCGAGACGGCAUUCACGGCGCCCUCCCGGGCUUGCCCUCGUUAGGUGGCGGGGAGGAGGAGUCGCCGGUGUCGUCGUCGGAGGCAUCGACCGGCGGGGGCGGCUACCUGGAGGACGCCGUCGCGCAGUGGGGCGACCGGAGCAAGCGGCAGAGGACGGCGGUAGAGGGUCCGCCGCGGUGCCCGGCCAUGGCGAGCGAGGACCUGCAGUGCCUUCUUCAGAGCUUCUGGGAUUCCAGCAGCGGCGAGGGAGCCCUCCUCCAUGAUCUCAACACCAUGGCCCCGGCCCCGGCCCCGGAGACCAGCGGCUUUCUCUCAGAGGAGGGCGCCGCAUCGGGCAGGGGGCAGCGGCAGGGGGAGGAGGGGGGCCGGAGCGCGCCAGCGGCAGCGGGGCAGGGAGAAGCUUGUGGAGCGGCGGCAGGGCCCCCGCCUCCCUCCUCCGCCACGGCUGCUGCUGCUCCCCGGCCACCGCUGCAAAAGGCAACUACAGGGAGCGGCAGCGGCAGCGGCAAUAACUGCGGCCCGGCGACCUCCUCCUCCUGCUCCUCGCUGGCAGGGAGGAGGAAGGAGGGGGUGCUGUACCCGUUCGCCGUGGUGAAGCCGCUGGUGCUGGACGGCGACACGCUGAACGACGUCAACCGACGGAUCCUGAAGCGGCCGGCGAGGCCGGUGCGGCACCCCGUCGGCCAGUUCGCGUGCGGCCCCGCCGUGUCGUCGCCUCACGGGCCGGGUCUGUCCGGGAAGGCGGUCGUCAGCCUCACCAAGAUCAGGACCGGGGGGAAGGGCACGAUCACCAUCAUCAGAACCAGAGGCUAG
rnacentral:rRNA from 1 species